CAGCGCCUCAAGUGGUCAGGAUGAUUAUUGGGCCUAAAGCAUCCGUAGCCGGCGCUGUAAGUUUUCGGUUAAAUCUGUACGCUCAACGUACAGGCUGCCGGGAAUACUGCAGAGCUAGGGAGUGGGAGAGGUAGACGGUACUCGGUAGGAAGGGGUAAAAUCCUUUGAUCUAUUGAUGACCACCUGUGGCGAAGGCGGUCUACCAGAACACGUCCGACGGUGAGGGAUGAAAGCUGGGGGAGCAAACCGGAUUAGAUACCCGAGUAGUCC
rnacentral:rRNA from 1 species